CUGCUCAGAAGACACAAGACACACCAGGAGUGACGUGAGGAAACAGGCAGUAAAGAUAAGCCUUUGCGACUGGGUUACUCAGACCCUCCCUGACAAGGAGGAGCCCAUCUUGAGUGUCCCAGGAGACCUGGACCUUGUGGACAUCCUGCAGAAUGGCAUAUGGAUCCAUUACAAUGAUGACAUCAUGCUGACUGGGCAAGAUGACAAGAGGUUGCUAUACACCAGAGGGCUUGGGAAGACACAUGCCCUGCAGAAGCCUUCUUUCACCUACCCAGUAAAAACGGUGGGCUGGUAAUAACUACCAUUUAUCAAGUACCUACUCUAUGCCAGCCACAAUUGUAUGUGAUCUCUGAUCCUCACAACAAGCCAGCAAGGUAAGCAUUCUUUUUUUUUUUUAUUUUGUGAUGGAGUCUCGCUCUGUCACCCAGGCUGGAGUGCAGUGGCUCAAUCUUGGCUCACUGCAACCUCCACCUCCCAGGUUCAAACAAUUCUCCUGCCUUAGCCCCCGAGCACCUGGAAUUACAGACAUCCACCACCACAUCCGGCUAAUUUUUGUAUUUUUAGUAGAGAUGGGAUUUCGCCUUGUUGGCCAGGCUGGUCUCAAACUCCUGACCUCAGGUGAUGUACCUGCCUCAGCCACCCAAAGUGCUAGGAUUACAAGCGAGAGCCACGGCACCCAGCCCAGCAAUGUAAGCAUUCUAACACCGUGGUGCAGAUAAGGAAACUGAGUCUGGGAGAUUGGAGGAUAUGCCUUCAUAGAGAUGCAUGGAUGGAAACCAGGUCUGUUUCCAACCAUCUGUUGCUCUUCCCUCUGUGUCACUUAAACACAGGGCCACUAUACUAACUGCUUAGCAAUGUCUUGGUUCAUUGAAAAGGGGAAGAGAUUUCUAACCUACCUAGCCUGUAUUACAAGAGAAAUGCUGCAUUCUCACUUAAGUAUCUCCUGAAAUUGUGAAAAGCCCUAUUUCUGUACUACUUCUCUUGGCAUCUCCUUAAUCCAAAAGACAAAAGUUACAAUCUAGAGAUGCUUACAAAAUGCCCUAGCUUUUUACCACCCCAUCCUAGAAUACAGUGAGCAAAAGCUCCUGUCCUGCCAGCUCUGUCAUUGGUCUUUGUCUUUGAGAUACUGGCCCCUUGGCCAUUGCUGGUUUUCUAUAGCAGUAAACCACACCCCACAUCAAAUAAGUACACUCUCUCCCAUUUAUUUUAGUUCAGUCAUCUGGUAUUUUCAAAGACCUGUUUGUGACAAAGAUAUGCUCUACCACAAUUUUCCUCCUAUCAUCUAAAUUAUCUCUUCUCUCUUUUGGCUCCUUAAGAAAAACCUGCUCCUGAUUACAAGGAUAUGUCGAUUGCAGGGAGGCAGAGGAAGAAAUACAACAGGAUGUCUAUCGAACACAACUUUGGAGUAAGACCUUGGGACCCAACUCCUGUUUGCUUCAUAUACAAGCUUUGAGACGUGAUGAGUUUGCCUCGAUUCUCUAAGCCUCAGUUUCCUCAUCUGUUGUUGUGAGGGAAAUAAUGCAUGGAAAGCUUUUAACACAAUGGCUGGCACACAGUGAAAGUGCAAGACGUUAACCAUUAUCAUGAGAGUUUUCAAUUGGAAUGAAUAGGAGACUUAAAUUUGCAUGAUUGUACUUUUACACUAAGCCAUUAAUGAUGCAUUCAUUUAGUUUUCUACUCCCAAAGAACAUAGAUUUGAUUAAUUAUAACAAGAAUUUAAAAAUAUUUCCAUUAUUCAGAAAUAACCUACAGAGUCUAAGCCUGUCCUUUCCUUCCUCCCUUUUUCCCAAUCUUUUUUUUUUUUUUUUUUUUUUGAAAGAAAUAGCAAUUAUGUAGUCAGAUUCACUGGCUCUUUCUUCUUCUCCCUGGUAACAGGCUAAGUCUUAACCUUGAUUAGGCAGCAUCGCAUCUGAUCUAAGUUCUUCCCAGCUUUCAGCCCAGCCUGCUUCCCCAGGCUUCAGAGCGCAGCUCUGCACCACCCUCUCCACCCCUGCUUAGCAUCAGAACAUUGCCAAAGCUAAGCAUCUAUGCAAUGUUUCUUUUGAAUAGUUGUCUACCUACUUGGAUAUUUUUUUCCUUCUCCCAGAGGCAAAAAUUGGACCACUUAAUCUAUGCUGUAGGACAGUCUUGCCCCUCAGAAAAUACUUGAGCAUAUUAAGUUGUUAUGAAAUGGAUCUGAGAAGCAGAGUUCUGAACCAUGCCCGUGAAUUUCCCAGCCUCAUCACACUGGCAUUCUUUCAUAGCCCCGAAAUACUUUCCACUUGCCCUUCCUAUGAAUGCAAGUAAAGCAAAGCCUCUUGACAAAGCAAAUUAAGAGUAAUCAAUGGUUUGGGUUUUUUUUUUAAUUAUUAUUUCCUGUGACUCAAAUCAAACCUAUUUCUCAACUGUAACGUACGAAAAGAGAGAGAUCAAGUUGACAUUUAGGAAAAUUGAACAUUGAUAAGUAAAUUGCCUUCACUCAGUCUCUUAGGUCCUCUCUCCUUUCCCCCUACCCCACGACACCCCGUGGCCCUGCUCUCUCUCACACACACAGCUGAAGGUAUCUUUAAAGGGUACCUAUUUCCUGCAGAUCACGCUUAUGUUAAUCUCACUUCAAGUACAGAUGCACCGAGGACAUUACAGGGUCAGUCAUUCUUAUCCACAAAGCUUUAGAUUCCACUACAUUAUUCAAACUGGACAAUGGACUUCCCCAUUUUGUGCCCAGACUUGCUCACUAAUAGAGUGACCUCCUUGUUAUGGGUGAGGAUAUAUUUGAUGCUAAAACUGCUACAAAUUUUUAUCAGCAUUUAAUCUUGAGACUGUGAAUUACUACAUCCUGCAUGUGUUGGUACCUUACUUUGAUUAAAAAUGGGAUAAAUCAAUGAGAGAGUCUUUUUAUCCAAGGCCAUGUUCCUUUCACAUGAAGGUCAUAUACGGGCUAAUUGGACAAAAUAUAAAUCAUGUUUCUUUCCACAUUCAGUUUUAGAUCCUGACCUGUUUUGUGUCAAGAAAUCACAGGGAGCCCAACCUGUAUCAUCAAGAUUGUUUUGAUUUACAGAUGAUUUCCUUAAAUCAUAGCAUGAUGACAUUCAAUGCAAUUCCAAAAUUAAGGAAUGGAGAGUUCAGAAGGACAUUUAAAAAAAAAAUGCUUGUAGUGUUAUAGGAAAAAGUAAUCAGAACUUUGACUCCAUUUGCUUUCCUGUGUCAUAGAAAUGUUGAGGACAGGACAAAAAUAUAACUCCCACCAGUAAC
rnacentral:lncRNA from 1 species